CAGGCUAUGGGUCAGGCUAUGGGUCAGGCUAUGGGUCAGGCCGUGCUAUGGGUCAGGCUAUGGGUCUGGCUGUGGGUCAGGCUAUGGGUCAGGCUGUGCUAUGGGUCAGGCUAUGGGUCAGGCUAUGGGUCAGGCUAUGAGUCAGGCUAUGGGUCCAGCUGUGGGUGUGGCUGUGCUAUGGGUCAGGCUGUGGGUCAGGCUAUGGGUCACGCUAUGGGUCACGCUAUGGGUCAGGCUGUGGGUCAGGCUGUGGGGCUGAUGUUUGCACAGAGCGCGCUGUGAGCGCGGGGCACGAUGUGAGCGACGGGGGGCUGCUGAGCUGUGGGUCAGGCUAUGGGUCAGGCUAUGGGUCCGGCUGUGCUAUGGGUCAGGCUAUGGGUCAGGCUGUGGGUCAGGCUAUGGGUCAGGCAAUGCUAUGGGUCAGGCUAUGGGUCAGGCCAUGCUAUGGGUCAGGCUAUGGGGCUGAUGUUUGCACAGAGCGCGCUGUGAGCGCGGGGCACGACGUGAGCGAUGGGGGGCUGCUGAGCUGGGGGUCAGGCUAUGGGUCAGGCUAUGGGUCAGACUGUGGGUCAGGCUGUGCUAUGGGUCAGGCAAUGCUAUGGGUCAGGCUAUGGGUCUGGCUGUGGGUCAGGCUGUGCUAUGGGUCAGGCUAUGGGUCAGGCUAUGGGUCAGGCUGUGCUAUGGGUCAGGCUAUGGGUCAGGCUAUGGGUCAGGCUAUGGGUCAGGCUGUGCUAUGGGUCAGGCUAUGGGUCAGGCUAUGGGGCUGAUGUUUGCACAGAGCGCGCUGUGAGCGCAGGGCACGACGUGAGCGACGGGGGAAUGCUGAGCUGGGGGUCAGGCUAUGGGUCCGGCUGUGCUAUGGGUCAGGCUGUGGGUCAGGCUAUGGGUCAGGCUGUGCUAUGGGUCAGGCCACGCUAUGGGUCAGGCUGUGGGGCUGAUGUUUGCACAGAGCGCGCUGUGAGCGCGGGGCACGACGUGAGCGAUGGGGGGCUGCUGAGCUGUGGGUCAGGCUAUGUGUCAGGCUAUGGGUCAGGCUAUGGGUCAGGCCAUGCUAUGGGUCAGGCUGUGGGGCUGAUAUUUGCACAGAGCGCGCUGUGAGCGCGGGGCACGACGUGAGCGACGGGGGGCUGCUGAGCUGUGGGUCAGGCUAUGGGUCAGGCCAUGCUAUGGGCCAGGCUAUGGGUCAGGCCAUGCUAUGGGUCAGGCUAUGGGGCUGAUGUUUGCACAGAGCGGGCUGUGAGCGCGGGGCACGACGUGAGCGAUGGGGGGCUGCUGAGCUGCGCCCUGGAAAUGGCCAUGGCCGGGAACUGCGGCCUCAGCAUCCAGCUCCACAGCGACGGCGCCCAGCGUACGUGGGGCAGCCACAGCCCAUAAUAGUCCCCCGGCGCGGCCCGUCCUAUCCCAUAAUAACCCAGCCUAUCCCAUAAUAUCCUGUCCUAUCGCAUCAUAUCCCGUCCUAUCUCGUAAUAUCCCGUCCUAUCCCAUCCUAUCCCUUCCUAUCCCAUAAUAUCCCGUCCUAUCCCAUCAUAUCCUGUCCUAUCCCAUCCUAUCCUGUCCUAUCCCAUAAUAUCCCAAAAUAUCCCAUCCUAUCCCAUCAUAUCCCAUCCUAUCCCAUAAUAUUCCAUCCUAUCCCAUCCUAUCCCAUCAUAUUCUAUCCUGUCCUAUCCUAUCCCAUCCUAUCCCAUAAUAUCCCAUGCUAUCCCAUAAUAUUCCAUGCUAUCUCAUAAUAUCCCAUCCUAUCCCAUCAUAUCCUAUCAUAUCCAUUCAUACCCUAUAAUAUCCUUUCCUAUCCCAUAAUAUCCCAUCGUACCCCAUCCUAUCCCAUCCUAUCCCAUCUUAUCCCAUAAUAUCCCGUCCUAUCCCAUAAUAUCCCAUAAUAUCCCACCCCAUCCCAUAAUAUCCCAUCCAUCCCAUCAUAUCCCAUCCUAUCCCAUAAUAUCCCGUCGUAUCCCAUAAUAUCCCGUCCUAUCCCAUAAUAUGCCAUCCUAUCCCAUAAUAUCCUACCCUAUCCCAUCCUAUCCCAUAAUAUCCCUUCCUAUCCCAUAAUAUCCUAUCCUAUCCCAUAAUACCCCAGCGCAGCACAUCGUAUCCCAUCCUA
rnacentral:lncRNA from 1 species